rfam:TPA: Bos taurus chromosome 1, whole genome shotgun sequence.
UCUCUGGUAGCUCAGCGGUUAAAGCAUCUGCCUGCAAUGCUGGAGACUCAGGUUCAAUUCCUGGGUUGGGAA